rnacentral:rRNA from 1 species
GUCUUUGAAGUAGGGGUCUGACAGCUUUGUCUUUGCUUCUGAUGUUGGCAGCAAAGAUUUUUUGUUGCAUGUGCUUUUUGAAGCUUUUUAAUAGACAAAUGUUGUUUUACACUUGCUUUCAAAUCUGCUCAUUUUAUUCUUUAACACCUGUGCACCAAUAAGCAAAGUUCCUCAUCACUUGGGUAGCCUUUGUAACUGAUGUUUAUGUGCAUUGUAUAUGCAACACUUGUCUAGGGUUUCCCCAGACUAGGAUGUGUAUAUUACUGUGGGUCCUGUUAUGAAUUGGCUUGAGGGAUUAAUACAUUCCUAAGUAGAAUAGUAAUAUGGACCAGCAUUGCACAUAUAUAUACAUUAUACAAAAGUGCCUUUGUAUAAUGUGGACUUUGUUUUGAUUUACAUGAACUCUGCUUCUGUCUUGUGGAAUGGAACAGAAAUGGACUUAUAUAACUUUCAACAAUGGAUCUCUUGGCUCUUGCAUCGAUGAAGAACGCAGCGAAAUGCGAUAAGUAGUGUGAAUUGCAGAAUUCAGUGAAUCAUCGAAUCUUUGAAUGCACCUUGUACUCCUUGGGUUACCUGUGGAGUAUGCCUGUUUGAGUGUCAUGUUGAUCUCAAUUCCCUCAGUCUUUCUGUAUGAAGGUCUGUCUCUGGUGAAUUGGACUUUGGAGGUUCAAUGCAAGUUCCCUUAACCCUUCUUAUGGAUGGGGAAUUGGCUCCUCUUAAAAACAUUAGUCUGGAGGAUAAAAUGCAACUGCUCUUUAAGCAUUGUUCAUUUGCUUAUAGUGUAAUAU